AAAGGAAUAGACGGGGGCCCGCACAAGCGGUGGAGCAUGUGGCUUAAUUCGAGGCAACGCGAAGAACCUUACCCGGGCUUGAAAUAUACGGGACAGUCUGUGAAAGCAGAUCUUCCUUCGGGACUCGUAUACAGGUGCUGCAUGGCUGUCGUCAGCUCGUGCCGUGAGGUGUUCGGUUAAGUCCGGCAACGAGCGCAACCCGUAUCACCAGUUGCCAGCGCGUAAUGGCGGGGACUCUGGUGAGACUGCCUGUGUUAAGCAGGAGGAAGGCGCGGAUGAUGUCAAGUCAGUAUGGCCCUUACGUCCGGGGCUGCACACGUGCUACAAUGGCCGGUACAAUGGGAUGCAAUGUCGCGAGGCGGAGCAAAUCCACAAAACCGGCCCUAGUUCAGAUUGCAGUCUGCAACUCGACUGCAUGAAGUUGGAAUCGCUAGUAAAGGCGUAUCAGCUACGACGCCUUGAAUACGUUCCCGGGCCUUGUACACACCGCCCGU
rnacentral:rRNA from 1 species